GAAAGGCAGACCAUCGAAGGCAGAUCUGGCACGGCGGUCCGGUGGAGGACUGACAUCGUCGGAAUCUGAACCGCGGCGGAGUCUCCGUCGCCGGAAUGUGAGGUACAACAUCGAUUACGACGACUUUCUUGAAGAAGACGAUGAGGAUGAGGAAGAAGACGAGAGGAGGAGAGAGAAGAAGCUUAAGCUUGUUGUGAAGCUCAACCAGGGAAGAGAUGGAACGCAUCUAUCUCCAGUGGACGGACUUUCU
rnacentral:misc_RNA from 1 species